rnacentral:rRNA from 1 species
AAUGAUGAUGAUUUAUAACAAUGGCUUAGUGGCGGACUGGUGAGUAACGCGUAAGCAAUCUGCCUAUCAGAGGGGAAUAACAGUGAGAAAUCAUUGCUAAUACCGCAUAUGCCAUGAGUAUCGCAUGAUACAAUUGGGAAAGGAGUAAUCCGCUGAUAGAUGAGCUUGCGUCUGAUUAACUUGUUGGUGGGGUAACGGCCUACCAAGGUGACGAUCAGUAGCCGGACUGAGAGGUUGAACGGCCACAUUGGGACUGAGAUACGGCCCAGACUCCUACGGGAGGCAGCAGUCGGGAAUAUUGCGCAAUGGAGGAAACUCUGACGCAGUGACGCCGCGUAUAGGAUGAAGGUUUUCGGAUUGUAAACUAUUGUCGUUAGGGAAGAUUUAAGACAGUACCUAGGGAGGAAGCUCCGGCUAACUACGUGCCAGCCGCUGC